rnacentral:tRNA from 1 species
GAAGAUGUAACUCAGUUGGUAGAGUAUGUGCCUAGAAAGCACAAAGUUCUGGGUUAAAUCCUCAGAAUUGCA